CUGCUGUAUUCAUUGUUAUUAUACAGGAGUCCUGUUGAUGUGAUGGACUGAUUUUAUGCUAUCAGAAAACCAGUUGCUGAGGUUAUAAAAAAAGCAAGAUGAAAUCCCUAUCCUGAAGUGAACACCUUGACUUUGGUAGGCAUAUAAAUGGUUUAAAGUUAUGGCAUGCCAGCAGCACCUCCACAGUUGUUUAAGCGAGUGUCUGUUCUCUGUACAGAUGCAGAAUCCAAGCUUGCAAAAAAUGACCUUCUAAAAAAUGAUUCAGGUCAGUGUCUUCUGCUUAUUGGGUCAACAAAUGUUAAGUGUUGUAACAGUGUCAAGCAGAAGCCAAAAAUAGAGCUCCAAAGAAGUAACAAGGUGAUAUUUUUAAAAGGUAAUUGCCAGUGAUUUUGCUUAAGCCACAAAGAUGCAAUACACAUUUGACCCAGUUCUUAGAUUGGGAACUUUCUUUUCCCUCAACAUAUAAUAAAAUAUACUAAAAUAAUUAAAAUUUUCAUGAAUCAUCAUUUUCCUUUCAACAAAAUACUUAUUUGAGC
ensembl:lncRNA